rnacentral:misc_RNA from 1 species
CGAGUGUUACAGUCGUCCGAUUUUCGAGCUUUUAAUUUAAGUUUUCAAACGGCUGAUACCGUUCACCUGUGGGAUUCCUGUGUUUUACCUGCGCGCGCACUGAUUUCUCUAUAAAGGUUGGCGCAACUAUGAUGUCCUGCCCUUUGCCACUGCCGCUGUUGCCGGCGUUACAUCCGCAGCCAGCAUUAGCUUCAGACUUCCCAAUCCACAUUGGAAUAAAGAGAGGCUCCGACGAGCUUCUGUCGCAGAGUGGCGUCACCGUCAUGGCGCCCGCCGCUCCGCACCACGCCGACAAUAACAAUCAGGACUCUGCUGCCAAGAAGGUGAAACUGGAACAAAAUGUCGGCAAGCCGUCUCGAGUCAUUCACAUACGGAACAUACCGAACGAGACGACGGAAGCGGAGAUCAUACAACUCGGAUUGCCCUUCGGAAGAGUCACCAACGUUCUAGUGCUCAAAGGCAAAAAUCAGGCGUUCCUUGAAAUGGCAGAGGAGAUAUCUGCGGUGGCUAUGGUCGCGUACUUCGGAGGAUGUGUAGCGCAGUUGCGUGGCCGAGCGGUUUACGUUCAGUUCUCCAACCACAAGGAGCUAAAAACCGAUCAGACGCACAGCAAUGCCUCAGCAUCGGCGCAAGCGGCUUUACAGGCGGCACAAGUCAUAUCGAAUAGCGCUGGUGCGGCCAUUGUUGCGGGCGGCGGUAACGCUUUGCAACCAGCUAAUGGCGGUACAGAAAUACAGGGCGGUCCCAAUACAGUACUGCGUGUCAUCAUAGAGCAUAUGUUAUAUCCCAUCGUUCUGGACGUCCUCUACUCGAUCUUCCAACGCUACGGCAAGGUGCUCAAGAUUGUAACUUUCACUAAAAACAAUUCAUUCCAAGCUCUCAUUCAGUAUCCAGACACGGUGUCGGCGCAAACAGCAAAAACGGCGCUCGACGGGCAGAAUAUCUACAACGGGUGCUGCACACUCCGCAUCGACUAUUCGAAGAUGACUUGCCUGAACGUGAAAUACAACAAUGACAAGUCGCGGGACUACACGAAUCCGACGCUUCCCUCCGGAGACGGCGACGCUCAUCAGCUGUUGACCAGCGGAGGUGUAUUGGCGCCCCAGUUCCUGGGCUUGGGUUCGGGAUUGGCUUCACCGUAUGGUGUAGGUGUCGGUGGAGUGGGGCUCCCAGCCUUCGGAGCUCUCACUCUCACACCAGCCUCGCCUGCUCUGCGAGCUCUUGCUGCCCCACCUUUGCCAUUAGCCACAGUCCUACUGGUGUCUAACCUAAACGAAGAGAUGGUCACGCCUGACGCUCUCUUUACCCUUUUCGGCGUGUAUGGUGACGUGCAACGGGUGAAGAUACUUUACAACAAGAAGGAUUCGGCUUUGAUUCAGAUGGCAGAACCGCACCAGGCCCAUCUAGCCCUGACCCACAUGGACAAGUUACGCGUGUUCGGCAAGGCAAUGCGCGUUAUGCUAAGUAAGCACCAAACUGUUCAGCUCCCUAAAGAAGGACAACCUGACGCUGGUCUUACCAGGGACUACUCGCAGAGCCCACUCCACAGAUUCAAGAAACCCGGUAGCAAAAAUUACCAGAACAUCUACCCGCCAAGCGCCACUCUGCAUCUGUCGAACAUUCCUGCCACCGUGACUGAAGAGGAUAUCAAAGAUGCAUUCUCCAAACGGGGAUUCACAAUUAAGGCUUUUAAAUUUUUCCCGAAGGACCGCAAAAUGGCUCUGGUCCAACUGUCGUCCAUCGACGACGCAGUGACCGCGCUCAUCAAGAUGCACAACUACCAGCUCUCGGAAUCCAACCACCUCAGGGUGUCUUUCUCCAAAUCAAGCAUCUAAACGGAUUCGACCGGACUAUCACACUGAAUAUCACACAAUACUUGGCAGUCGCGUCCGUUCUAUUGGAUCUAAACUAUAAUUGAAGAUUCUUACGGUACUGUUUGUCAUAAUUAUUUUAUAUUGUAUCGACGGAGACUCGUGUUCCAGUAACGCAUAUCAAUUCGAUGCGACUGUCAAUUACAUCUCACCUCUCAUAAAAAUCGAGAAUUUUCGCUCGACUGAAAAUUUUAUAUAUGUAUGUAUUACGCUUACUCGGAUCAGUCUAUAGAUUAAGUGCUAUUCUAUUUUCUUAUAUGAAUAACAUUUAACUGUUACAAUAUAAUUAAAUCUAAGAUGAAUCGUCACAUGAACAUUAAGCCGAAUCAUGCUUGUUUUAUCAAAAUAGUAUCUAACUUCCAUAACCGUUGUUACACAGGAGAGGAUUUCUAUUUUGUGUGAUAUUCGUUCUAAUUAUUUGUUUACGUACGUUUUUAUUCUUGUAGACAAUUCGUGCGUUGAUUUCUAUAUUGUAUCAACAUAAUUUGAAUUUAUACGAAUUAAAAUAACAGUUUUAUUUUGCAAUUAGAUUGCGCUAGAUUCGUUUGGCAAUAUUAUGUGAAAUGGAACGUAUUUUGAUAGCAAUGUAUGACAUUGCCACGCUUGUUGUUUUCAAUUCAGGAUACGGAAAUUUCCCUAAUUAUUAUUACAUUACAUUGUUAUUAUAUUCAUCGGUUACAAUAUUUACAAUAUGAUUUGCAGUUACAACUCUUGAAUUGUAUUUUAUAAAAUAUAUUUUAUUCGCUCUUAUUAAAAAUGCACAAUUUACUAUAUUAUUAUUAUUAUAUUUUAAUAGCGUUUUCUUUAUAAAUGUAGUUUUGUGCGCAUACACAUUUUUUUAAAUUAUUAUUAUUAUUAUUUUAAAUACAGAAAUGUCAUAUUUAGAAAUGUGUAUGUGUGUGCAAUAUUAGUUGUAGAAGUAAUUGUUAAAUAAAAUAUAUUAGACACAACUGUCUUCUGCUGCCGGAUAAUCGGUGUCCAUCUUCAUGCUUCCAUACUUGUUUCGUUAUUUAGGUAAAUAUUAUCUUUGCUUCGAUAAUAUAAUAGUUAUUGACGAUUAGUUAGUGUAAUCACAGUUCUAUAGCUAAGCCUCUAGUUUUAAAUCACUUUUUAAGCGUGGCCGCUCACGUCACGUUUUCAAAUUCGGUUUCGAGAACCAGGAAAUGCGAAUACGAUAAUAAUGUUUCUGUGUGCUUUAGUGCGAGUUUUUUAACGUUCUCGAUAGCGUAAAAGUUAGCUCAUAUUUGUAUGGAAUGGGAUCGUUUGCCUACGUUUGUCGCUAAGGGCGCUGUUCCAACUGCAUACAAAAUUGGACUAACUUUUACGCGAACGUUAACAAACUCUCACUAAUCACACUAUUCACGUUUCCGUCCGGAAAAAUUAAGAACGUGUGUUUUUAUUUCUUUUUCCCUACUUAAGCGUUGGUAGUCUAAGCGGCUAUUUCAACAACUCACGGACCGAUAGGUGAGCUCACGGGCUCAACCUGAGAGAAUUACUCACACUGGCCCUAACAAGAGCAGUGAUUCGCUGUACCUACCACCGGAUCGGAAUCGCGAUCCACGGAGAAAACCCGAAACUCAGUGGGUUAAGCGUGUGCGCUGUAUAGAGCACUUCAACGAAAUGCAUUGCAUUCGGAAAUCGAACACGGGUUUCCCGUUUCCCUUUCGGAACCUAAUAAGGAAAAAUGGCGUGCGCGGUUAAACUAUAACGUUAUGUUCAGUGACAUAAUAGUGACAUGAUGCAUUUAUUUCGAUGAUAAUUUAAAUUAAUGGUAGCUACAACAUUAAAUAAUGUAAAAUAAAUGCUCGUGCAUGCGUUUCACUAAACGAUUAAUUUAAGGUUAUUAUUUAUUUUGUCCCUAUACGCGGGCAGUGUGACCAGCUCGAAUGCGACAUUACAGUUGGCAGGUAAAGUCGACGCGGUCGGUCACACUACCUUACUACGGGCUCAUAAGGACUCGCAUCCAGGACCGUAAAACUAUCUAAAGAAAAAAAAAAGGUCACACUCGCUCGUGAGAGGCGACAAGGGCGAUUGCGAAAGUAUUAGCACGAUCUGAUAUUGCUCUAAUACAUAAAUAAUCAGCAGUAUUUACACUAGGUCACAAUAGUUUACUUUAAUAAAACAGUAUUUUAGAUGAAUAACUGUCGCUCGGUUCUUCGUAUUGUAAAUAAUAUGUUCCUUUGUUUCAACUUCGGCCGCCUAAACUUCACAUACUCUCGCACUCCGCUAAUAAAAAAAAAUCACGAUUGGUUCUCACACAUGUUCGCCUUCUUGAAUUAAUUUGAAAUGCGUCUAGUCCAAUAAGAAGGAGAUUAAUGUUUUGUAUUUUUUUUUUUCGUUAAGUAAAUUUACUGACACGGGAAAAUUUCAACACACUCUUCCGAACGUUUUUUUUUUUUUUUAAUUUAAUGAAAUUAUAUUAAAUAGAAUACCAAUUGUAGUGAGUUCGGUCUUAGACGUCUCGAAAUACGGCCUUUAGGACCUUUUUGAGUGUUCAGUUACACGUCCAGUUUAUGUGAUUAGGCAAAGCAUGCGUGGAACAGAUAUUUGAAUUUAUGACAAAAUAAACAACGCCGUCUUCGUUUGAAUCGAUUGAAUUUGAUUGAAAUGCACCUUUAUAAAAUGUAAAUUAUCGCGACCCGCCACUAUGGAGAUUCGAUUCGGAGGAAUGAUUAACCGGAGAAGGAUUAUGAAUUGUAAAUGUAAAUGUAGCGCAUUAUUUUAUCUAGCUGAUCAUUACGCACGCCACAUCAUAUAGCUCCAGAUUUAACAUAUCUACCGUAGUCACAAAAUAUCACAUAGUCACAAAAAUAUCUUUACUUUAUAGGUUAUUUCUGAAAAAAAAAAGAAAUAUAUAUAAUAACGCAUAUUUACACAAUUAAAAAAUGUAUAGUAUACAUCACUUAUCGUAAUUAAAAAUAGAGCUUAGUAAGAUGAUUUAACUAAAAAAAAAUAAAAAUAAAAAUAUUAGAUUGUCAUUACGAUUUAAGAGUUAAUAGUGAAAAUUUAAUCAUACAAAUCGUAUUAACCAGUACCUAUAUACGGUAAGAAUGUAGUUAUUCGGUUUAGAUAAUGUUAGGUGACCAGGGUGUGGUGAUAUUUUGCACGUUUUUGAAAAUGUUUUAAUAUAAGAUGCAGGAUCACGUGCCUGUGCUAUGAAACGUCUCGGAAUGUGGUACGCGACUGGUGGUGGUCUGUUUGCGAUAAAAAUGGUAAACGCAUUUGUAAUUUUAAAAUUAUUAUUAUUAUUAUUAUUAUUAUUACAUAUUUAAUUGAAUAAAUAAAUCAACUAUGCAAAAAGGAACUUACAUAUCCACUAUAUAGAGUAGAACGCUACACACAAAAUUUUUGAAAUUCCUAUUUAAAUUAUUUGUUCGCUUGUAUAGAUAUCACACUCAUAAUUCAUACAGUUAACACUUGUAGUGCUUCUGCUCAAUUUGUAGGGGAUUAUAUACAUAAGUGUGUAGCGUCUUUGGGCCUAAGUUUUCUUUUUACAUUGUAUUGACUAAUAGAUAAUUAUUAUAGGAAUUUAUGUGUUUAGAAAAGUAUUUUAAAUAUUUAGAUAAUAAUCUUAAUGUUAUUAAAAAUAAUAGAUCAAUGUUUAGGAUGAGAUGCCAAAUUUAAAGUCAAUACACAUUAUUUUAGGUAAAAUGAUUAAUGAAGUAAUCUUAACAUUUAUUGAAAAGUUGAUGAAAAUGUUACAGUUAAAUUAUAUUACAGAGUUUUAUUAAACGCAAUAUAUUAUGCAAUUGUAUUCAUUGUGAAUUAGAUAUUGUUUCAAUUUGUUAGUUAAAGUUGUGCAUUGAUAAUUGUGAAGUUGAUUCAGAUUUUUCUUGAUUACUUCAUUUGUUUCUGAUUCCACGUUUCCCUUAGCCAAUGCUGGUCUUAUUACAAAUUAAUACUAACUGUAUUUAUAUACUUCAUGAAUACUAGGUGUUAUUACUACAACACAUAUCUCCUCAUAUCAUCCAGUGCUUAAACUUUAUUGCGCUUCGUAAGUUUUCGUCUAUUGCCAUGUUAACUAUAUUUUUAUAUUCUUUAUUGAGAAGAAUAAAAGCCAACAUAUCAAUAAACAGAAACUUAGCUAUCAAUGCUUUUCGAGUUCUUCACUUGGCUUUGAAGUUCUGUUUUCUUUCACUUCGCCGCGACACAUUAAUCUGAAUAAUCGUUUUUUUCUUAUAUUUUAAUCGUUUGGUAAGUUAGUGUCUACUACACCUAUUUCUUUAUUUUUAAUUUUAAGCCUUUUUUGUGUGUGGUCAAUUUCAUUUUUAUUUUCAAUUUCAUAAUUAAACUAUUAUUAUCAUUGAUACUUUUUGUUCAUUAUUUUUCUCCAAUCCCAUCCUAUUACCUUUUUCCUAUUAUUUUUUUAAACUUACAAUGUACCAAUUGUAUACCGUACACCAUAGGUAACUAGAUGUUUGAGAUUGCCAUUUUCACUAAGUCCGUAUUCUGUAUGUCAGUUUUGAAAUCAAUAAAAUCAAUGUUUUAUCUUAUUAAUACCUGAAUACAAAAUAAUAUCGUUAUUUCGGUAAUCAUUUCGUUGCGUAAUAAAUGAGAAAUCAUUGUAAAUAAAAUUUAUAAAAUAUUAAAUGGGAUCAAUAUAAUGAAAAAAAAUAUGUACAAUUAGUACACAAUUGGUAUUCUAGACUUAUUCGUACUUUAGAUCUAACUUCUAUCUGUCAUUAAUCUACACGAUCUUACACUAACUUCAAAACGCUUCGAAGUACUACUAUAGAAAUAUGAAAUUCGUCUUGCGUUCACACGAGUGAUCUGACUAGUAAAUGAAUAUUAGGAAAUGCUUAAAUGAAUUUUUGUAAAGGAGUAAGGGACUUAAAUAUCGCCAAUGAUAAAUAUGAUAUGUUUUAUAUAAUAUUAUCAAAUGGAAUAUACUACGCACAGGGUAUGUUGUGAAUUUUUAAUGCUGUCCAGGGGCUAAGUGAAGCCCACGACAGUUAUUUUGUGUCCGUGCCACGUCCCUUAUUCCCAAAACGCGAAGAACUGAAUCAUUCCGUAUUUAAACUGUUGUCUUAGCAAAAUAUAUACAACUGCCAAUCGAAAGAGGUUUUCCCACGGGACCCGACUCACCACAAUGUCCAAGUAAGGGAAAAGAUUAUAUUAAAAUUACACACUCAUAAUAUCAUAUCUAUUUUAGAGAUUAGAUGAUACUCAUAAAUUUAAGUAUCAAAUGUUAAGGAAAUCGGGUGAAUCUAAUACAUGGCAGUUGUAAUCUUGUUAUAUUAUCUGCAAAUGUAAAUAUAAAAUACAAUUACGUUACAUAUAGUUACAUAUAAAAAUAUAUAGUAUCUACAUACAGUAAAGAAUAACAUAAUCAUUAUUGUAAGAUUAACUAAUUAAUUGUAUCCUAUUCUAAUUUCAAUAGGUAAAUCUAGUUUAAAUCUACUAAUCGAAAUAAAAAAAAACUUCCUAGCUAACAUUAGAUUACCGUGGCUCCUUGCUAAAUAAAUGAUCGUUAAGUUGUUUAUUUUAAAUGAAUUUAAUGGUGUGCAAAUCGAAGGGUUGUGUGUAAAGUUAAAAUAGUUUAAUAGAUUUAAACAAUCGUUCAUGUAACGUAAAAAAAUUGUUUUCUCAAACGUGCACAUCUACUUUAUUUAACCUAGACUGUUCUGGAACUAUCCAAAUUCAAUAUCAUAGCGUUUUAAUCGAUAUGCCAAAGACCAAUCAUUGGGACAUAAUAACAGGGAUCUAAUACUUACCUAUUUUUUUUUUCUUUUCACCACCUAACUUAAAUUCUCGAUAAUAAUAUACAUUUUAUGGACGUUACACGUUAUAAGCUCUAGCGGAAGAAUUAGUUAUAACGAGUAUUAAAUUGAAAAAUAAAAACAUAUUUUGAUGAUAGCCGUUCUUGAAGAUUAAGUAAUCGUUCUGUGAAGUUCAAAGGCCUCUUGAAGCCGGAAACGCUGAUGUCUACUUUACUGCAGAUAUAAAUUAUAAUAAUAUUACACUUCUUACAAUCUAAGUGACUACCCUAUUGAACUCUAGAUUUAUUCUUUGUGAUUUUAUAAUAAAAUAUAGUUGAAAAUAAUGA